CACGUAGGGUGCGAGCGUUGUCCGGAAUUAUUGGGCGUGAAGAGCUCGUAGGCGGUGUGUCACGUCGGCCGUGAAAACCUGCAGCUUAACUGUGGGCGUGCGGUCGAUACGGGCAUCACUGGAGUUCGGCAGGGGAGACUGGAAUUCCUGGUGUAGCGGUGAAAUGCGCAGAUAUCAGGAGGAACACCGGUGGCGAAGGCGGGUCUCUGGGCCGAUACUGACGCUGAGGAGCGAAAGCGUGGGGAGCAAACAGG
rnacentral:rRNA from 1 species